AUAUAUAUUUGACUUUGAAACAGCAGUCACUAUGAGCAGUAACUGUGAGGAUAAGUAACUGAAUUCAGUCACUAUUAAAUAAUUAAACAUAAUAAAUUGGAAUCUGUGAAAAUACAUUGGAUCUCUCCAGUUGUUCUGGCACAUCCCACUCUCAAACUCCGAUCUCUAUUAUUCGUUUAAUCUGACUUAUCUGCGUGAGCUCUCAACCAAUGAUUCACCAGCAAUCCACAAGGACCGCCCUCCUCAUUUUCAUGUUGCACACGGAAAAGUAAAAAUAAAUAAAUAAAUAAAUAAAUCUGGAAAUAAAUACACGUGGGAAUAAAUAAAUACAUAUAAAAAAUUAAUAAAUAAAUAAAAAUAAAACUCUCGUCCUGCCCAGUCACGGCUAUGGAUGCCGCUCAUGAAUCCUCGUCCUGCCCAGUCACGGCUAUGGAGGCCAUUUCUGAACUCUCAUCUUGCCAAGUCACGGCUAUGGAAGCCGUUAAUGAACUCUCGCCCUGUCCUGUCACGGCUAAGGAGGCCGCCUAUGAAUCUUCAUCCAUUCAAGUCUCGGUCCUUGGGGCCAUGAAUCCUCUGUCUAUGUUGUCUGUCUCUGCUUCUUCCAGGCUCCAGUCCCAAGCAUGCUGUCCUAGCCAGUUCAGUCUACCCAUCCACUCUGUCUGCUCCACCCAGGAGGGUUCCAGGGCCGUCCACUCUGCCUGUCUUUUUGUAUCUCACCCUCUCUUAGGUUCCGGUUACUACCCGGGGUCUCUGUUCUGCCUGAUCCGUCCUGGGGGCGUCCGAGUCGCCGCCCGAUCCGCCCUGGUGGCCGUCUGCCUUGUCUGCUUCGCCCUGUUGGGCGGCUGGUUCAAUCCCAUCUCUCCAUCCCCUCAUGGACCUGACCCUCCGUCCCUCCCCCUGUUCCGCCUCCGCUUUACCACCCUCCUGUAGUCAAGUCAAGUCAUCUUUAUUUAUAUAGCGCUUUAAACAAAAAAGAUUGCGUCAAAGCAACUGAACAACAUUAAUUAGGAAAACAGUGUGUCAAUAAUGCAAAAUGACAGUUAAAGGCAGUUCAUCAUUGAAUUCAGUGAUGUCAUCAUGCAGCUCAGUUGAGUUUAAAUAGUAUCUGUGCAAUCAUUUGCAAUCAAGUCAAUGAUAUCGCUGUAAAUGAAGUGUCCCCAACUAAGCAAGCCAGAGGCGACAGCGGCAAGGAACCAAAACUCCAUCAGUGACAGAAUGGAGAAGAAACCUUGGGAGAAACCAGGCUCAGUCGGGGGCCAGUUCUCCUCUGGCCAGACGAAACCAGAAGUUCAGUUCCAGGCUGCAGCAAAGUCACAUUGUGCAGAAGAAUCAUCUGUUUCCUGUGGUCUUGUCCCGGUGGUCGUCUGAGACAAGGUCUUUACAGGGGAUCUGUAUCUGGGGCUCUAGUUGUCCUGGUCUCUGCUGUCUUUCAGGGCUGUAGAGGUCGUUUCUAGGUGCUGAUCCACCAUCUGGGCUGGAUACAGACUGGAUCUGGUGGCUACGGUGACCUCGGAAUAAGAGAGAAACAGACUAAUAUUAGCGUAGAUGCCAUUUUUCUAACUAUGUAGCAAGUACAUCGGGUGUUAUGGGAAGUGUUCCCGGUUCUGGUUUACCUAAUUAAUGCAGCCUAAAAAUCCUUUAACGGAUUUGGAUAUUAGAAACCUAUUAGUGUGUUAUGUUUAAGCCAGGUUAAAGAGAUGGGUCUUUAAUCUAGAUUUUAAACUGCAAAAGUGUGUCUGUCUCCUGAACAAUGUUAGGUAGGUUAUUCCAGAGUUUAGGCGCUAAAUCAGAAAAGGAUCUGCCACCCGCAGUUGAUUUUGAUAUUCUAGGUAUUAUCAAAUUGCCAGAGUUUUGAGAAUGCAGCAGAUGUGAAGGACUAUAAUGUAACAAGAGCUCAUUCAAAUACUGAGGUGCUAAACCAUUCAGGGCUUUAUAAGUAAUAAGCAAGAUUUUAAAAUCUAUACAAUGUUUGAUAGGGAGCCAGUGCAAUGUUGACAGAACCGAACUCUAGCUGCUGCAUUUUGGACUAGCUGGAGUUUGUUUAUUAAGCAUGCAGAACAACCACCCAAUAAAGCAUUACAAUAAUGUAACCCUGAGGCCAUAAACCCAUGGAUUAACAUUUCUGCAUUUGACAUUGAGAGCAUAGGUCAUAAUUUAGAUAUAUUUUUGAGAUGGAAAAAUGGAGUUUUACAAAUGCUAGAAACGUGGCUUUCUAAGGAAAGAUUGCUAUCAAAUAGCACACCUAGGUUCCCAACUGAUGACGAAGAAUUGACAGAGCAGCCAUCAAGUCUUAGACACAUUCUAGGUUAUUACAUGCAGAGUUUUUAGGUCCUAUAAUUAACACCACUUCCAUUAAUGCCAACAAAGUGUUCUAGUCUAUGCAAAAGAAUGUUGAGGUCAAUAGUGUCGAAUGCAGCACUAAGAUCCAAUAGCACUAAUAGAGAGAUACAACCACGAUCAGAUGAUAAGAGCAGGUCAUUUGUAACUCUAAGGAGAGCAGUCUCAGUACUAUGAUACGGUCUAAAUCCUGACUGGAAAUCCUCACAGACACCAUUUUUCUCUAAGAAGGAAUAUAAUUGUGAGGAUACUACCUUUUCUAUUGUUUUGGACAGAAAAGGGAGAUUGGAGAUCGGUCUGUAAUUAACUAGUUCUUUGGGGUCAAGUUGUGUUUUUUUGAUGAAAAUUAGAUUAAAUGUCCUUGUUUUUCUGAGAAAUAAAUAUGUGAACCUGGCAUGUUUACUAAAUAUGUGCAAGCAUAUUAUUGUAUUUUUAUCCUUUAGCACAUAACAGUAACAGUAGCAUAACAGUAUGUCAGUAAUUUAUUAAUUACAAAGGCUUCAAGUCUUCUGGGCCAAAAAACUGCUUUGUGUGAAAAACAGACCCCAAAUGAAUGAUGUUAGUGCCCUGUGUUCAUAGAAAGAGUUUCCACAGUUAAAAUAUAACUGAAUUAAAUAUAAGUAAAAUACAACAUUUAAAUUAUUUACCAUUUAUAAUAUUUUUUAAAGACUUCAAAAGACUUGAAUACAAUUAAAUUUUAUUAUGCAUUAUCAUCAAAUUUCAAAAGUAAAGUGUUUUAUGUACUGAGCCCAUAAGGACUCAUGGUGAUAGAUAUAUUUCAAUGAUUUUUUGAGUAUUUUCUCAAUAUAUAGCCCACACAGUAUACCCAAACGUAGUAAUUUGUAAAAUACUAUACUUUACAAAUGUAUUUGGGGAAGGAUGAAAUAUAUAUAUAUAUUGAUCCUUAAGAAAGUACAAGGACACGCUGGAGGAACUAUGUCUCUCGGCUGGCCUGGGAACACCUCGGUAUCCGGAAGAGCUAGAGGAAGUGUCUAGUGAGAGGGAAGUCUGGGUAUCACUGCUUAUACUGCUGCCCCUGUGUGCCCCAGUGCACGCCAAAGGCCACAGCACACAAUGAAGAAACACCACCACCAUCUAAAGAGGAAGUCAUCGACCCUGGUCAAUGAAGGCCAGCAGCUCCUAAAUAAAAACUCUCUCUCUCUCUC
ensembl:lncRNA